rnacentral:rRNA from 1 species
AACGAACGCUGGCGGCGUGCCUAACACAUGCAAGUCGAGCGAGAAAGUUCCUUCGGGAACGAGUACAGCGGCGCACGGGUGAGUAACACGUAGGUAACCUUCCCUCGAGCCCGGAAUAACCCGUCGAAAGAUGGGCUAAUACCGGAUGGGACCACGGUGGUCACGGCUACCGCGGUGAAAGAUGGCCUCUGUUCAAAAGCUAUUACUCGGGGCUGGGCCUGCGCGCCAUUAGCUAGUUGGUGAGGUAACGGCUCACCAAGGCGAUGAUGUCUAGCUGGUCUGAGAGGAUGACCAGCCACACUGGGACUGACACACGGCCCAGACUCCUUCGGGAGGCAGCAGUGGGGGAUAUUGCGCAAUGGGCGAAAGCCUGACGCAGCGACGCCGCGUGGGUGAUGAAGGCCUUCGGGUCGUAAAGCCCUGUCGAGGGGGACGAACCAGCCCGGCCCUAAUACAGUCGGGCCCUGACGGUACCCCUAAAGGAAGCACCGGCUAACUCCGUGCCAGCAGCCGCCGCAG